rnacentral:rRNA from 1 species
UACGUAGGGUCCGAGCGUUGUCCGGAAUUACUGGGCGUAAAGAGCUCGUAGGUGGUUUGUCGCGUUGUUCGUGAAAACUCACAGCUCAACUGUGGGCGUGCGGGCGAUACGGGCAGACUAGAGUACUGCAGGGGAGACUGGAAUUCCUGGUGUAGCGGUGGAAUGCGCAGAUAUCAGGAGGAACACCGGUGGCGAAGGCGGGUCUCUGGGCCGAUACUGACGCUGAGGAGCGAAAGCGUGGGGAGCAAACAGG